AUAGCCGGGUGCGUGUGCGCCAUUUUACUGGGGAAUAGAUUGCAGCAGGAUGCACUUUGGGAAGAAGGUAGGCUGGUGGAGGCAGUGUUAUGCUCUGGGCACUGUUCUGCUGGAAAAUCUUGGGUUCUGACAUACAUGUGGAUGUCCAUUUCAACGCACACCACCUACUUAGAGAUUGUUGCAUGUCACAUACACCCCUGAUAGCAGUGGCCUCUUUCAGCAGGAUAAUGCACCCUGUCAUACUAGAAAAAAUGGUUCAGGAAUAGUUUGAGGAACAUAACAAAGAGUUAAAGAUGUCGCUUAGGUCUCCAAAUCCACCAGAUCUUAAUUGAGCAUCUGUGGGAUGUGCUGGAACAAUUCUGACCCACAGAGGCCUCACCUCGCAACUUUUAGGAAUUCAAGGAGGAUAGGAUGUGGGGUAAAGUG